rnacentral:rRNA from 1 species
GACGAACGCUGGCGGCGUGCCUAAUACAUGCAAGUGGGACGCAAGGGAACACACUGUGCUUGCACACCGUGUUUUCUUGAGUCGCGAACGGGUGAGUAACGCGUAGGUAACCUGCCUAUUAGCGGGGGAUAACUAUUGGAAACGAUAGCUAAUACCGCAUAAUAUUAAUUAUUGCAUGAUAAUUAAUUGAAAGAUGCAAGCGCAUCACUAGUAGAUGGACCUGCGUUGUAUUAGCUAGUUGGUAAGGUAAGAGCUUACCAAGGUGACGAUACAUAGCCGACCUGAGAGGGUGAUCGGCCACACUGGGACUGAGACACGGCCCAGACUCCUACGGGAGGCAGCAGUAGGGAAUCUUCGGCAAUGGACGAAAGUCUGACCGAGCAACGCCGCGUGAGUGAAGAAGGUUUUCGGAUCGUAAAGCUCUGUUGUAAGUCAAGAACGUGUGUGAGAGUGGAAAGUUCACUCAG